GGGGUUGUGGUUCAGCGGUACAGCGUUCGCCUAGCGCAUGCGAGGCCCUGGGUGCAUGCGAGUCCCUGGGUUCGAUACUCAGCACCACA
rnacentral:tRNA from 1 species